UACGUAGGGUGCGAGCGUUGUCCGGAAUUACUGGGCGUAAAGAGCUCGUAGGUGGUUUGUCGCGUUGUUCGUGAAAUCUCACGGCUUAACUGUGAGCGUGCGGGCGAUACGGGCAGACUAGAGUACUGCAGGGGAGACUGGAAUUCCUGGUGUAGCGGUGGAAUGCGCAGAUAUCAGGAGGAACACCGGUGGCGAAGGCGGGACUCUGGGCCGAUACUGACGCUGAGGAGCGAAAGCGUGGGGAGCAAACAGG
rnacentral:rRNA from 1 species